GCACUACUGAAGAAUUCUACAAUAGGACGAAACAGCCGUCCAGUGC
rnacentral:hammerhead_ribozyme from 1 species